CCUAAGACAUGCAAGCGUACGAGGCGGCCCACUGAUCAGAUGAGAUCUGCGUGCUGCACAAAGGAAGGAUUCUGAUGACGUGGAUUCUCCGCCUAGUGGCAAACGGGUGAGUAACACGUGGGUUACCUGCCUCAUAGACCGGGAUACCGUUUGGAAACGAACGUUAAUACCGGAUGUUAUCUACGGAUUAAAGGGAGCCUUUAAAGCUUCGCUAUGAGAUGGGCCUGCGGUGCAUUAGAUAGUUGGUGGGGUAAUGGCCUACCAAGUCGACGAUGCAUAGCUGAACUGAGAGGUUGAUCGGCCACACUGGGACUGAUACACGGCCCAGACUCCUACGGGAGACAGCAGUUAGGAAUAUUCGUCAAUGGGGGAAACCCUGAACGAGCAAUGCCGCGUGAAUGAUGAAGGCCCUAUGGGUUGUAAAAAUUCUGUUGUUUGGGAAGAACUGUAGAAAUAGGAAAUGAUUUCUGCUUGACGGUACCAUUCAAGAAAGCUCCGGCUAACUACGUGCCAGCCGCCGC
rnacentral:rRNA from 1 species